CGAUUUUUGCUUUCCACUGCACAA
rnacentral:miRNA from 10 species